AAGUUCACAUUUCGGAGGCGGUAUCCCGUCCGAUCUCCCUUAAUAACCUGGCGAGCGCCGGAUUAGUAGUUGGGUCGGUGACGACCAGCGAAUACCCGGUGUUGUAUGUU
rnacentral:rRNA from 1 species